AUGAACGCUGGCGGCGUGCCUAAUACAUGCAAGUCGAGCGAACAGACGAGGAGCUUGCUCCUCUGACGUUAGCGGCGGACGGGUGAGUAACACGUGGAUAACCUACCUAUAAGACUGGGAUAACUUCGGGAAACCGGAGCUAAUACCGGAUAAUAUAUUGAACCGCAUGGUUCAAUAGUGAAAGACGGUUUUGCUGUCACUUAUAGAUGGAUCCGCGCCGCAUUAGCUAGUUGGUAAGGUAACGGCUUACCAAGGCAACGAUGCGUAGCCGACCUGAGAGGGUGAUCGGCCACACUGGAACUGAGACACGGUCCAGACUCCUACGGGAGGCAGCAGUAGGGAAUCUUCCGCAAUGGGCGAAAGCUUGACGGAGCAACGCCGCGUGAGUGAUGAAGGUCUUCGGAUCGUAAAACUCUGUUAUUAGGGAAGAACAAAUGUGUAAGUAACUAUGCACGUCUUGACGGUACCUAAUCAGAAAGCCACGGCUAACUAUGUG
rnacentral:rRNA from 1 species